rnacentral:tRNA from 1 species
GUGGUGGCUCAGUGGUAGAGGGUUUGCUUAGCAUCAGGAGCACACAUGAGGCACUGGGUUCGAACCUCAGCACCACA